AGAACGAACGCUGGCGGCAUGCCUAACACAUGCAAGUCGAACGAGACCUUCGGGUCUAGUGGCGCACGGGUGCGUAACGCGUGGGAAUCUGCCCUUGGGUUCGGAAUAACAGCGAGAAAUUGCUGCUAAUACCGGAUGAUGACGUAAGUCCAAAGAUUUAUCGCCCAAGGAUGAGCCCGCGUAGGAUUAGCUUGUUGGUGAGGUAAGAGCUCACCAAGGCGACGAUCCUUAGCUGGUCUGAGAGGAUGAUCAGCCACACUGGGACUGAGACACGGCCCAGACUCCUA
rnacentral:rRNA from 1 species